rnacentral:rRNA from 1 species
UACGUAGGGUGCGAGCGUUAAUCGGAAUUACUGGGCGUAAAGCGUGCGCAGGCGGUUUUGUAAGCCAGAUGUGAAAUCCCCGGGCUUAACCUGGGAAUGGCAUUUGGGACUGCAAGGCUUGAGUGCGGCAGAGGAGACUGGAAUUCCUGGUGUAGCAGUGAAAUGCGUAGAUAUCAGGAGGAACACCGAUGGCGAAGGCAGGUCUCUGGGCUGACACUGACGCUCAUGCACGAAAGCGUGGGGAGCGAAACAAACGGUUG